AGGCACUGCACACACUGGAUCCAAAAGGGUCAGAUUGGAAUUUUGUUCUGAAACAGAGGUUCCAGUAAAAAAGCAGCUCUUACUCCUGAAUAGGCUGGUUUCAUUUUGACUUGGGGGAAAAGGUCACCCAAGCAAGACCCUCCACUUCAUCCUCAAGACACACAGAGGAGAAAAGCAGGUUCUGUUAUCCAAGGGAAUGCAAUGUCAAAUCCCAGAGUGGGAGCUUUCCUCACAAAACACGUGACCAAUCACUGUUCUUACCCUUCCACUGUCACACAAAACAAACAAUGAGGUUUUGAGAAAUGCUAUCUAUUUCACAUGUAAAAUAAAUCACUGUUCAGAACAUAGAGCAACCUGAGACAUGAGGAGUGAGUUUCUAAAGAGAAACCAGGAAAUCAGCCUCCAGAAGGAAACAUGCUUGUAAGACUGAAAACCAACCUUGGGCAUCAUCUGUGCCCGUACUACCUCGAAUAUAAGAACUGUGCCUGUGCAGAGAGCUGCCUACAAGUGCUGCAGUUUAAUCAUAUGAUAAAACCACAGAUCAAAACAUGCCUGGUUAAGUAAAGUGGGGCAAAAUAGCCAAUAUCCUUCACCCAUUUUCCUUGGUCAG